rnacentral:rRNA from 1 species
AUUGAACGCUGGCGGCAUGCUUUACACAUGCAAGUCGAACGGCAGCGCGGGCUUCGUCCUGGCGGCGCGUGGCGCACGGGUGAGUAAUGCAUCUGAACGUGCCCAGUAGUUGGGGAUAGCCCGUCUAAAGCCGGAUUAAUACCGCAUACGACCUGAGGGUGAAAGCGGGGGACCGAAAGGCCUCGCGCUAUUUGAGCGUCCGAUGUCGGAUUAGCUAGUUGGUGGGGUAAAGGCUUACCAAGGCGACGAUCCGUAGCUGGUCUGAGAGGACGACCAGCCACACUGGGACUGAGACACGGCCCAGACGCCGACGGGAGGCAGCAGUGGGGAAUUUUGGAAAAUGGGGGAAACACUGAACCAGCAAGGCCGCGUGCGGGAAGAAGGCCUUCGGGUUGUAAAGCGCUUUUGUUAGGGAAGAAAUCCUCUGGGCUAAUACCCCGGGGGGAUGACGGUACAGGAAGAAUAAGCACCGGAUAACUACGUG